rnacentral:snRNA from 1 species
GUACCCGCUUUGGCAGUACAUAUACCUACUAAAAUUGGAACGAUACAGAGAAGAUUAGCAUGGCCCCUGCGUAAGGAUGACACGCAAAAUCGUGAAGCGUUCCACAUUUUU